GAUGAACGCUGGCGGCGUGCCUAAUACAUGCAAGUCGAGCGAACGGACGAGAAGCUUGCUUCUCUGAUGUUAGCGGCGGACGGGUGAGUAACACGUGGAUAACCUACCUAUAAGACUGGGAUAACUUCGGGAAACCGGAGCUAAUACCGGAUAAUAUUUUGAACCGCAUGGUUCAAAAGUGAAAGACGGUCUUGCUGUCACUUAUAGAUGGAUCCGCGCUGCAUUAGCUAGUUGGUAGGGUAACGGCUUACCAAGGCAACGAUGCAUAACCGACCUGAGAGGUGGAUCGGCCACACUGGAACUGAGACACGGUCCAGACUCCUACGGGAGGCAGCAGAAGGGAAUCUUCCGCAAUGGGCGAAAGCCUGACGGAGCAACGCCGCGUGAGUGAUGAAGUUCUUCGGAUCGUAAAACUCUGUUAUUAGGGAAGAACAUAUGUGUAAGUAACUGUGCACAUCUUGACGGUACCUAAUCAGAAAGCCACGGCUAACUACGUG
rnacentral:rRNA from 1 species